GUGUCAGCCGCCGCGGUAAUACGUAGGUGGCAAGCGUUGUCCGGAAUUAUUGGGCGUAAAGGAUGUGUAGGCGGCUUUUUAAGUGGGAUGUGAAAACCCUGGGCUCAACCCAGGACCGGCAUUCCAAACUGGAAAGCUAGAGUGCAGGAGAGGAAAGUGGAAUUCCCAGUGUAGCGGUGAAAUGCGUAGAGAUUGGGAGGAACACCAGUGGCGAAGGCGACUUUCUGGACUGUAACUGACGCUGAGGCAUGAAAGCGUGGGGAGCAAACAGGAUUAGAUACCCUGGUAGUCCACGCUGUAAACGAUGAGUACUAGGUGUAGGCCCCUCCAGGGUCUGUGCCGCAGUUAACACAUUAAGUACUCCGCCUGGGAAGUACGGUCGCAAGACUAAA
rnacentral:rRNA from 1 species